rnacentral:rRNA from 1 species
UACAGAGGGUGCAAGCGUUAAUCGGAAUUACUGGGCGUAAAGCGCGCGUAGGUGGUUUGUUAAGUUGGAUGUGAAAUCCCCGGGCUCAACCUGGGAACUGCAUUCAAAACUGACAAGCUAGAGUAUGGUAGAGGGUGGUGGAAUUUCCUGUGUAGCGGUGAAAUGCGUAGAUAUAGGAAGGAACACCAGUGGCGAAGGCGACCAACCUGGACUGAUACUGACACUGAGGUGCGAAAGCGUGGGGAGCAAACAGGA